AUUGAACGCUGGCGGCAGGCCUAACACAUGCAAGUCGAACGAGUGGCGAACGGGUGAGUAACGCGUGGUAACCUGCCUCAUAGCGGGGGAUAACUAUUGGAAAUGAUAGCUAAUACCGCAUACAAUGAGAUGGACCUUCGUUUUAUUAUCUAGUUGGUGAGGUAAAGGCUCACCAAGGCGACGCUACAUAGCCGACCUGAGAGGGUGACCAGCAACACUGGAACUGAGACACGGUCCAGACUCCUAAGGGAGGCAGCAGUGGGGAAUAUUGCACAAUGGGCGCAAGCCUGAUGCAGCCAUGCCGCGUGUAUGAAGAAGGCCUUCGGGUUGUAAAGUACUUUCAGCGGGGAGGCGUUACCCGCAGAAGAAGCACCGGCUAACUCCGUGCCAGCAGCCGCGGUAAUUC
rnacentral:rRNA from 1 species